rnacentral:rRNA from 1 species
ACGAACGCUGGCGGCAUGCCUCACACAUGCCAGUCGCACGCGACCUUCGGGUCUAGUGGCGCACGGGUGCGUAACGCGUGGGAACCUGCCCUUAGGUUCGGAAUAACUCCCCGAAAGGGGUGCUAAUACCGGAUAAUGUCUUCGGACCAAAGAUUUAUCGCCUUUGGAUGGGCCCGCGUUGGAUUAGCUAGUUGGUAGGGUAAAAGCCUACCAAGGCGACGAUCCAUAGCUGGUCUGAGAGGAUGAUCAGCCACACUGGGACUGAGACACGGCCCAGACUCCUACGGGAGGCAGCAGUGGGGAAUAUUGGACAAUGGGCGAAAGCCUGAUCCAGCAAUGCCGCGUGAGUGAUGAAGGCCUUAGGGUUGUAAAGCUCUUUUACCCGGGAUGAUAAUGACAGUACCGGGAGAAUAAGCUCCGGCUAACUCCGUG